rnacentral:rRNA from 1 species
UACGUAGGGUGCGAGCGUUGUCCGGAAUUAUUGGGCGUAAAGAGCUCGUAGGCGGUCUGUCGCGUCGAUCGUGAAAACUUGGGGCUUAACCCUGAGCUUGCGGUCGAUACGGGCAUGACUGGAGUUCGGCAGGGGAGACUGGAAUUCCUGGUGUAGCGGUGAAAUGCGCAGAUAUCAGGAGGAACACCAGUGGCGAAGGCGGCUCACUGGACCGGUACUGACGCUGAUGCGCGAAAGCGUGGGGAGCAAACGGG